rnacentral:lncRNA from 1 species
UGACUAAAUAAUAGAGGUAUCAAUAUUGAAAUCAAUAAUAGUAGUGAUAUGACCAUUUGAAAAUAGGAAUUUUUUAUUGUAAGUUACAUAGUCAAAAUCUUAGUAACUAUUUGAGAUACAAUAUGAUUAUGAAGCUAAGAAGAGUAAUCUUAGAAAAUAACAUUUCUUUAAAACAAUUACUUCUCUUAAUUUGAUUAGACCUUUAUCUAAAUCCAAAGUCAGUGGUGGGGAGCCUUGUUAUCCUUGACCCCAUACUUGUGCUUUAUUUGAACAAAAUUUCAGUGCUUCCAUGAUACUGAAUACUUAAUACUCUUCUUCAUUAUAAUUAUCUUUU